GCCUGAGUGGUUCAGUUGGUUAAGCAUCUGACUUCAGUUCAGGUCAUGAUCUUGUGGUUCGUGAGUUCAAGCCUCGCAUCAGGCU
rfam:Felis catus isolate Cinnamon breed Abyssinian chromosome E2, whole genome shotgun sequence.